UGCUCUGAUUUACUUACUAUUUUUAUUAUAAUCAAAUACCAUAUUGACAUACCUUCUUUACAUAGUCGAAUCAACUUUUCUGAACUGAGUUACUUGACCAUGCAUAAUAGACUGAUUCAUAUUUCCUGCCAUACUAUAAAGUAGAGUACAUAUCUGAAAAAACAGAGUAGAUUAGAAGGGAAAGAAAAUAUUUUAUAUGAUUUCAACUAUUUGAAAUCAUAGUUUGAUGAGUUUAGCACAUUAGCACUCGAAUGAUGGUAAAAACGGAAUGCAUCUGGCAGAACCAAAAUGAUCAAAAAAGAACCAAGCUUCAGUUUUUAUUGUGAAAAUGUAUUUACACCAUAAGCAUGUAUUCAGUUUGAAAAUGGCUGCAGUGAUCUUAAGAGACACAGACAACGGAAGAUGGUGAAAUGCAGAACAGCAUCUGAUAGACUAAGCCAGCGAAGAUAGACAAAUAUGGUUGGUAAUGAACACAUUUCACAUUCGUGUCCCUUCACGCAACAGAUAAAUCUCAUAACAGUAAUUUAUGACAGCAAUAAAAGUAAUGUUUUUUAA